rnacentral:misc_RNA from 1 species
CAGUGACAACUUUUGCACCUUUCACAGAUGGGUAAACAAUUCUAAAUGUUUCUUGCAAUAGAUAAUCAUUGACAUCAGCAGCCAAAUCUCCAACAAAAAUAGUAUAAUCAGGGCCAUCAUCUUGUCGCCUCUCACCAGCAGCAAAAGUAGCCCAAUUCAGCCUGAAACUCUGCUCACUAUUUGGCAUUGGUGCACCAUUAUAUGUCUGCAAGAUCCUCUCUGCUGCUGCACGAGAAACAAACUCAAUGAAACCAUAACCCUCUGGGAGGCCUGUCUGCCUAUUCCUAAUAACUUUAGCAGAAGCAACCUCCCCGGUGUUGGCGAAGAUGCCAAAGAGAUAAUUUUCGUCCAUCCACUGCUGC